rnacentral:rRNA from 1 species
ACGUACGCUGGCGGCACGCCUAACACAUGCAAGUCGACCGAAGUAGCAAUACUUAGUGGCAGACGGGUGAGUAACAUGUAGGUAUCUGCCCUUUGGCCUGGAAUAACACGAGGAAACUUGUGCUAAUACCGGUUAAGUCUUUACGGAGAAAGCUUUAUGCACCAUUGGAUGAGCCUGCACUUGAUUAGUUUGUUGGUAGGGUAAUGGCCUACCAAGACUGUGAUCAAUAGCUGAUUUGAGAGGAUGAUCAGCCACAUUGGGACUGAGACACGGCCCAAACUCCUACGGGAGGCAGCAGUGGGGAAUCUUGCACAAUGGAGGAAACUCUGAUGCAGCGAUGCCGCGUGAGUGAAGAAGGCCCUUGGGUUGUAAAGCUCUUUCGUCGGGGAAGAAAAUGACUGUACCCGAAUAAGAAGGUCCGGCUAACUUCGUGCCAGCAGCCGCGGUAAUACGAAGGGACCUAGCGUAGUUCGGAAUUACUGGGCUUAAAGAGUUCGUAGGUGGUUGAAAAAGUUAGUGGUGAAAUCCCAGAGCUUAACUCUGGAACUGCCAUUAAAACUUUUCAGCUAGAGUAUGAUAGAGGAAAGCAGAAUUUCUAGUGUAGAGGUGAAAUUCGUAGAUAUUAGAAAGAAUACCAAUUGCGAAGGCAGCUUUCUGGAUCAUUACUGACACUGA